CCUACGGGUGGCAGCAGUGAGGAAUAUUGGUCAAUGGGCGAGAGCCUGAACCAGCCAAGCCGCGUGAGGGAGGAAUGCCCUAGGGGUUGUAAACCUCUUUUGUCGGGGAGCAAAAGCCGGACGUGCUCGGCUGUGAGAGUACCCGAAGAAAAAGCACAGGCUAACUCCGCGGCAGUAGCCGCGGUAACUCGGGGGAUGCGAGCGUUAUCCGGAUUUAUUGGGUUUAAAGGGUGCGCAGGCGGAUUUUUUAGUCGGGGGGUAAAACGUGGGGCUCAACCCCAUCCCGCCGUUGAUAUCGGGGGUCUAGAGUUUGCGAGAGGUAUGCGGAAUGCGUGGUGUAGCGGUGAAAUGCAUAGAUAUCACGCAGAACCCCGAUUGCGAAGGCAGCAUACCGGUGCACAACUGACGCUCAGGCACGAAAGCGUGGGUAUCGAACAGGAUUAGAUACCCGGGUAGUC
rnacentral:rRNA from 1 species